CCCUAACGCACAGAAAUGCUCUGCACAUCAUGCUACCUCUGCUGGGGGAUGGGAGAAGAGCAGCAUCGGUGAUACAAGACUGAAUUUACUACCUCUUCCGUGGCUUUUUCAGCAAUAAGAAGUUAAAACUAGAUGGAAAAAUGCUUCCCCCAGGAGACACAAUAAUAACUUAUUCGACCAGGAAGGUAAGACUGGCCACUCUGAAUCAACGAGCAAAGAAAGGAGUUGCUGUGCUGACUGGGGUGAUUGUCCCUGACUACUAAAGGAAAAAUUGGACAGCUAUGAUGGCUACUCUACAAUGGAGGAUGAAAAUGUUGAUAAAGUACCCUUUGUGCUUGCCUGGGAACACAAAUAUCUUCUUGUCCCUUGAUCCUAAGAAAUGGAUGAAGAAACUCC
rnacentral:lncRNA from 1 species